ACUCAAAUGAAUAGACGGGGGCCCGCACAAGCGGCGGAGCAUGUUGCUUAAUUCGACGCAACGCGAAGAACCUUACCAAGGCUUGACAUGCAGGGAAAAGCCGUAGAGAUACGGUGUCCGUAAGGGCCCUGCACAGGUGGUGCAUGGCUGUCGUCAGCUCGUGUCGUGAGAUGUUGGGUUAAGUCCCGCAACGAGCGCAACCCUCGUCCUAUGUUGCCAGCGGGUAAUGCCGGGGACUCAUAGGAGACUGCCGGGGUCAACUCGGAGGAAGGUGGGGAUGACGUCAAGUCAUCAUGCCCCUUAUGUCUUGGGCUGCAAACAUGCUACAAUGGCCGGUACAAAGGGCUGCGAGACCGCAAGGUGGAGCGAAUCUCGAAAAGCCGGCCUCAGUUCGGAUUGGGGUCUGCAACUCGACCCCAUGAAGUCGGAGUCGCUAGUAAUCGCGAAUCAGCAAUGUCGCGGUGAAUACGUUCCCGGGCCUUGUACACACCGCCCGU
rnacentral:rRNA from 1 species